GAGGCAUCUUGUAGCUGGUGUGCCUCAGGGGUGGGGCCCUGCUGCUGGGUUGCUAUGGAAACAGGGACUCUCUAUGGGCAGGUCCCAGGAGUGGGGUCUUGCUGUGGCCAGUCCCAGGACAGGGCCUCACUACUAGCCAGCAAUGGGGUCAAGAUUACCCUGGUGGCUUGUGCUGAGCGGGAGGCCUCUCUGAACCCAACACACUGCUCACUUGCCUAGGGAGCGCUGUUGUGAAGCUGGCUGCAGCAGCUGCUCUCUACCUCUAUCUCCUCCCACCCCAGUGAGACAGACCUUUCCUGCUAUGCUGACCAAAUUUCUAUAAUCAAGGAAGGUGGUCAGAAGCACAAUGAAAUUAUAUUUUAUUAGGAACAUCUAAGGAAUCUCUACAAGUAACUUGGAACCAGAAAAGCAAAUCUACUGAAAAGGAGUCUCCUGCAGUGCUACCAUGAGAAUAGGACCUGUUCUGGAAUGUUCAAGACACUUGGUGUUUCCAGAGACCAGACAACUACGUGGGCCAUCUGAACCCAAAAUGAAAUGUGUUGCUGAAAUGGACAUUAGGAAUGGGUUACUAAAAUGCAAGGAGACUUGACAUUAGUUAAUGUUGAUGGGCAUUAUUAUUGUAUUACUUUGGCUUUCUGUUUCACAGAUGUAUAUGGAUAUAUACUGAGAUAUCUUGGGGUCACAUAAAUUUACCCUCUAUAAUUUAGUCUUGGUCUUAGAUAUUCUUACUAUGGCUUGUGCUAUGAUUAAUCAGUCUUGUUCUUACAUUAACUGGUCAGGGGAAAUUGUGACAAGUCUCUCACUGACAAAAAGAGGGAAACUGAGAAAAUCAAAUUAUUCUAAUCCCAUUUUGUAACUGAUUCUAUUCUGCAUCACCCCCAAUCUGUUGUAAAAAUUGCCUAAGCCAAUGUUUCUUUGUCUCUGAACUUAGUUCAGGAAUUUAGCCACCCUGUAAUAAAUCAAGUUCAGAAAUCCAGUUC